UACGAAGGGGGCUAGCGUUGUUCGGAAUACUGGGCGUAAAGCGCGCGCAGGCGGUCUUCCAAGUCAGUGGUGAAAGCCCGGAGCUCAACUCCGGAACUGCCAUUGAAACUGUAAGACUUGAGGAUGAGAGAGGUGAGUGGAAUUCCCAGUGUAGAGGUGAAAUUCGUAGAUAUUGGGAAGAACACCAGUGGCGAAGGCGGCUCACUGGACCGGCAUUGACGCUGAGGUGCGAAAGCGUGGGGAGCAAACAGG
rnacentral:rRNA from 1 species